UACUGAUUGACCUCCCAGGACUGAUGG
rnacentral:sRNA from 1 species